rnacentral:rRNA from 1 species
UACGAAGGGGGCUAGCGUUGCUCGGAAUUACUGGGCGUAAAGGGCGCGUAGGCGGACAGUUAAGUCGGGGGUGAAAGCCCGGGGCUCAACCUCGGAAUUGCCUUCGAUACUGGCUGUCUUGAGUGCGGGAGAGGUGUGUGGAACUCCGAGUGUAGAGGUGAAAUUCGUAGAUAUUCGGAAGAACACCAGUGGCGAAGGCGACACACUGGCCCGUUACUGACGCUGAGGCGGCGAAAGCGUGGGGAGCAAACACGG